ensembl:piRNA 21ur-14883 ncRNA
UGACUUCCUUUAAACUUCUUA